GGGAGGGAGCUACAUGGGGGGAUACAAAGUGAAUAAACUGUAAUUAAUAAAAAUAAAAAAGGAAAAAAAAUAUAGGAUAAACAUACUAAAAUCUAUAGUCAUAAAAAGAAGCUAAACAACAAGAAGGACCCCAGGGAAGAGGCUUAAUCCUCAUUCAGAAGGGCAAACAGGAUAGACAUCAGAAGUAGAAGAAGACAGGGAACAGGACAGGAACCUUCCACAAGGGGGCUCUGAAAGACUCUGCCCAGCAAGAUAUUGAAGCAGGUGCUGAGACUCAGCCAAAUUUUGGGCAGAGUUGCAGGGGAUCUUAUGGAAGACGGGGGAGAUAGAAAGAACAGGAACUCAACAGAGCCAAAAAGUCUAGGCUCUGGGGGUCCUGCAGAGACUGAUGGGCCAACCAAGGAUGAUACAUGAAGAGGACAUAGACCCCCCGCUCAGAUGUAGCCCACGGGCAGCUCUGUCUCUGCGUGGGUUCCCUAGUAAGGAAAGCAGGGACCGUCUCUGACAUGGACUCAGUGGUCAGCUGUUUGAUCACCUCCCCCUGGUGAGGUGAUCUAACUAGGCCACAGAGAAAGAGGAUCCAGACAGUCUUGAUGAGACCUGAUAGGCUAGGGUCAGAGAGUAGGGGAGGAGGACCUCCCCUAUCAGCAGACUAGGGAAGAGGGAGGGAGGGUUAGACUGAGAGGAGAUGAGGGAGGGCAAUACAGCCAGGAUACAAAGUGAAUAAGUUGUAAUAAAUAAUAAUAAUAAAGAAAAAAUUUAAAUAAUAUGUAAAUUAUAUAACAUUUAAAUAUAUAUUUAUGUCAAAAAGAUUAUUCAUCAUAAUCAAAUUGGCUUUAUUUUAAAUUUGUAGAAAUGGUUAAACAUGCUGGGAAGUGAUGGUGCACACCUUUAAUCUCAGCACUUGGGAGACAGAGGCAGGCAGAUGUCUGUGAACUCAAGGCCAGCAUAGUCUACCAAGUGAGUUCCAAGACAGCUAAGGCUAAACAGAGCAAUCUUGUCUCAAAAGCCCAAAAAGACAAAAAAAAAAAAAAAAAAAAAAAAAAAAAAAAAAGAAAGAAUAAGAAAUGAUUAAACAUGUACAUAUCAGUAAGCCAUUUACAUACAUUAAUUUGUCUGUGGCUCAGGUCAUCUCCACUCCACAUUUGCCACUGUCUUUGGUCAUCAUCCCAUAUAAUCGGCAACAUCCUGGGAUCCCCUUUGCAUCUGAAGCUGCAACCUCAUCCCUGGGCUCUCAUGGCAUCUCUUCAGGAACUCUGACUCUGCCACAAGGUUCUAGGCCUUAUCUGAUUUCCAUGACCCCCUUGACCUUGGAUUUUUUUUUUAUGCCUUCAGGACCAGUGGAAGACUCUUAAACAUUGCAAAGUUCACCUGCCAGUUUGAGAGAGAGUAGACCAUGAGGGACUGUGUUAAAAGGUCUCAGCAUUAGGAAGGUUGAGAACCACUGACCUAUGGUGACCUGAAAUGGUGACUGAUGUCUCAAGGCACUGCCUAGCUCAGAUGGUGACUGAGAGUUGAGUUCAAAGAUUUCAGAUGAAAGGAUUUCCUGCCUCGCAUGGUGAAUUAGAAAUGGGGCUGAGGUAUGUGUGGAUUCUCUGACUCAAAAAUCUAAAAAAUCAUUGCUGCAUAAAAUUAGGUGCUACUUCCUAACAGUUAUUUUCCUAACAGUUAUUAAAUUGAUAUGAAUAUCAAUUUAAUAUCUGAGUUUUCCAGUGGUCUCAAGUGACAUGGUAAGAGUCAUUUGUUUCCCACCCCUAAGAGGUCACAACCCACAGGUUGAGAACUGCUGGCUUAGGUCACAGAGCAGGACAAUAAACUUGACAAGCCUGUCUCUUGGAAGGAGGCUGUGGGUAAAUGCAGUUUUAUCUUUUUUGUAGAAAUCCCAAAUGACAUCUGCUCUCAUUUGCAAGGGCAUUUCUCCAAUACCAGUCUCCUAGUCUGUGUCUAUGGUCUUCCUCAGAGUAUCCCCGAUAGUUGAUGACCCAAAGAAGGUCAAGAACAGAAAAGAUUAACAAAAGCAAGUGGUGAAGGAGCCAAGACAGAACAGUGUUCUCCACCUCCACAGGCAAAGCUGGAGGAAAGCAGCUUUAUUUGUAAUAGCCAGAAGCUGGAAACAACCCAAAUGCCCCUCAACUGAAGAAUGGAUACAGAAAUUGUGGUACAUCUACACAAUGGAAUACUACUUAGCAUUUCUAAUGAUAAAAGCCAAGUAAGUUAAACUGAAUGAAAAUGAAAAUACACAUAAGAUUUUAUGACUAAAGUCAUGUUUUGAAGAAAACACUUACUUCUGAAAUAUUUUUCUUAUGAUAAGGCUGCCUGUUAGGACAUUUGGCAUAUUAAGAAUGAGAAGUGGCUAGCAGCCACCACAGAGUGGAAGUUGGUUGUCUCUGGUUCUGUUCUUGCCUUUGACCUGGAGUUUCUGUGGGAUGUUAAGCAUCCCCUACUCAUGGCUCAGCCUUAGAUUCCACUAGGCAGUUAUAAUGCUAGUCCAUUGGGCUGCCAGAGAGACAUAUUACAGAUUGAAAGAAUACACAGGAGAUACUGAUGUGCUCACAUUUUUGGAGGCAAGAUCAAGAGGCAAAUGGGGUUGAUUUUUGUUCAAUCUGUUUUUAAUGGAUAUAGUAGAGAGCCUUUUUCUUACCUCCACCCAUGUGGGCCUCCUAUGUACACUUACCCUUGAUGUCCUUGUAUGGCAUGAUAGCACCAGUCACACUGGAUUAGGAUCCAUCCUAAAACUCCAUGUUAUUGCUAUAACUGAUUUAAAGGGUUUAUAUCCAAUCACAGGCACAUUAUAACAUGUUGGGGCAAAGCUUCAGCAUGUAAAUUCCACUUUCAUUCAUGUCAAACACAAAGGUGAGUUAAGGAACUACUGACCCACUGUUUUACUUUGAGAUUCUCCAAAGGCAUCUUUGAGAUAAGCUCUGAAGUACAAGAAGUCUAUUUUGAAAGGCUGGAAGUGGUGGGGAUAAUAAUGAAUAAUAAAGAGAGAUGAGAAAGAAAAGGAGUCUAUGAAGACUUGAUUUUGAUAUCAGUUAGUCUAGUAGGUGACCAGAGUUAAUGCCAGAAAAAACAUACAAGGGUAAGAAUGUGUAAUCUCGGGUAGUCUAACCAAGGUUGGGAGAAUGGAGGUCUAUACUCCAAUUCCAAGCAGUCCCUGGCUGAGAAAUAUUCCAGUGGGUGGAGGGACUUAUGCAUUUCCUACCAUCAAACAUGAAAUGAGUUUACAUUAAGGAAAUCCCUUAAGAGGGGAGGAGUUCCUGGCAGGUGGAAGUUACCUGAGAGUCAGGGACUCACAUGGCCCCAGGAUGCUGGCCAAUCACUGACAGCAUCUACCAGGGGUUGUCAUUCUGAGUUUUAGGAAAGGAUCAGAGAAAAUAUUUGUAUGCAUACUUAGGAGAGACACUAGAGACCACAUUGACCUGUCUCUGGUUGUCACUCUUACCUGUUAUCAUGAACUAAUUUCAUAGAUGAAUCCUGGCUUAUGAAGGUUUCCCCAUCAAAAGUCUAUGCUGUAAGCAGAGAACAGGAAUCUUGAAGGUUCUCCUGUCACCUAGCCAUUGCCUCUUUAUGAAACAGGGCUUUCCUCUAGCCACCUACCCUCCCUACAGACCCACAAAACGUCUAUUGGCCGUCCUUACUGUGAACCUUAAGGAUGCAGAAAAGGUCAGUAAAAAAGACUAGGCAGAUGCUUAUUGGGGAAAAGUUAUGAAGAUCACAGAAGAUACUCCAACUGCCUCACGGUUCAGUAACACAUGUAAUAUAACAGCUUAUAAUUGAGAAAAACCUGUGUGAUCAUAGAGCCGUAUUCGUGUCAAGCGUUUGAGAGUAACCAACUGUGCAGGGCACAUGUAUUAGGAGGAAUGCUCUCAACUUUUUUCCAGUUGGUAUAAUGCUGACCAUAAGUCCACCCUACAGCCUUCACCAUGCUAAGACGGGCCCUUGUCUUCUUGCACUUGGUUUUUCCUGCACAUAUCUUCAAUGUUUUUACAUCGUGUGUUAUAAUGAUUAAUUUGAAUAAACUGAACUAACCUGGCAUCCCUGAGCUCAAACCAACUUGGUUAAUGUAUUUCUUUAAAGCUGUUUUUAAAGGUUUAUCUUUUAACUUUUAUUUAAUUUGUUUCACACAAUGUAUUUUGAUAUUUUUCCCUCUCUGAGUGCCUCUCAGCUUCUCUUCACCUUCCUAUCUAUCCAAUUUAAUGUUUCUCUUUCUGUAUCUCUUGCUCUCUGUCUCUCUAAAAACAAUUCUUUGGAUUUUCUUAUAAAAGUUUUUUUUUAAGUUUAUUUUACUUUAUGUGUAUGAAUGUAUCACCACUAUGGACACAUAUGCAUUACAUGUACAUGUCAUCCCCAAGGAGAUAAGCAGGGGGCAUCAGAUCCCCUGCAGCCUGAAUUACAGAUGGUUGGGAGACAUACGUGAGUGCUGGAAACCAAACUCAUGUCCUCUUGCAAGAGCAACAGUGCUCUUAACUGCUGAGCCAUCUCUCUAGCCCCUUAAUGUGUUCUUGUAUUCUAUUGUAAAUGUUUUGUUGAGAGUUUUAUGUCUGUGGCUGACAAAUAGAUCCGUCUAUUGUUUUGUUACUGUCUCCUUAUGUGUUUUGAAUAUCAAGGUAAUAAUAGCUUCAUAGAAUGAGCUUGAUAGUGUUCUUUUAUUUGAAACAAAAGUAAACAUGACAAUGAAUAUUGGUGCGUUUUUUGGAAGGACAAAUCAUUAUCCGCUGUUAGUGGGAGUUUAAAAUGGUGCAUUGACUAUGGAAAUGAAAAUAGAGGUCCUUCAAAAGUCUAAUUGCUCUAGCAAGGACUUCAAGUAAUAGAGCAAUUAGACAAAUAAAGGAGAUCAAGAGAAUUCAGUUCAGAAAGGAAGAAGUCAAAGUAUCACUAUUUGCAGAUGAUAUGAUAGGAUAUAUGAGUGACCCCCAAAAUUCUACUAGGUAACUCCUACAGCUGAUAAACACCUUCAGCAAAGUAGCUGGAUAAAAAAAAUUAACUUAAAAAAAAUCAGUAGCCCUCCUGUAUGCAAAAGACAAAAGGGCUGAGAAAGAAAUUAGGGAAACAACACCCUUCACAAUAGCCACAAAGGACAUAAAGUACCUUGGUGUAACUCUAACCAAGUAAGUAAAAAAAAUUGUAUGAAAAAGCUUUCAGUCUCUGAAGAAAGAAUUAGAAGAAGAUAUCAGAAGAUGGAAAGAUCUCCCACGCUCAUGGCUUGGCAGGAUUAACAUAGUAAAAAUGGCCAUCUUGCCAAAAGCAAUCUGCAGAUUCAAUGCAAUUCCCAUCAAAUUACGAACACAAUUUUUUUACAGAACUUGAAAGAAAAAUUCUCAACUUCAUAUAGAAUAACAAGAAACCCAGAAUUGCUAAAACAAUCCUCUACAAUAAAAGAUCUUCUGGAGGUCUCUCCAUCCCUGAACUCAAGCUGUACUAUAGAGCAUCAGUUAUAAAAACUGCAUGGUACUGGCAUAGAAACAGAAUGGUGGAUCAAUGGAAUCAAAUAGAAGACCCAGAAAUAAACCCACACACUUGUGGACACCUAAUUUUUGACAAAGGUGCCAAAACCAUAUAAUGGAAAAAAAGAUAGUAUCUUCAACAAAUGGUGCUGGACUAACUGGAUGUCUACAUGUAGAAAAAUGCUCACAAAGGGAGCAACAGAACCAAAAAAUUUGUGCCAGGGGUCUUUUCUGAGACUGAUACCCCAAACAAGGACCAUGCAUGGAGAUAACUUAGAACCCCUGUAGAGAAGCAGCCCAUGGCAGGUCAGUGUCCAAGAGGGUUCCCCAAUAAAAGACCAGGGACCAUCUCUGACAUGAACUCAGUGGCUGGCUCUUGGAUCACCUCCACCUGAGGGGGGAGCAGCCUUACCAGUCAGCAGAGACGACAAAGAAGCCAAUCCUGAUGAGACCUGAUAGACUAUGGUCAGCUGGAAGGGGAGGAGGACCUCCCCUAUCAUUGGAUUGGGGAGGGGCA